AGUAUAUGAUCCACUCGGUCUCGUUUCUUCCGCCCAAAUUUCAUCAUCUUCUGCCAGUCUGUUUUGUGAUUAGGCUCCUUCCUGAGGCUGAACAACUUCAGUACUUCAGCUGCAAUGAAGCUCUACAGAACAGUAAAGCAAAUCCAGAAGUGGAGUUGCAGGCUUCUCCACAAGUCCAGGAAGGAGGUCAUCUACCUUUUCAGCACAUUCUUCUCCGAGUGUCUUCUGCCUCUCCAGUUUUUCAGAAAGGAAAUCUGAGAUGUCAUCCAACUGAACAGAGGAAAACUCAUCUGCAACACUAGAUAUAAGAGGAGCAAGGCUGGCCUCCUCUUUUACAACAUGCUUCAGAUAAUCCACCACUGACUGUUCUUGGGUAAAUGAUUCAAUAGCUACAGAAAUGUUUUUGCUGUUUGCUUUAGAAGACAACUUCUCAUCAAGCCUUUCCUCAGCUGAGGUUUCUGAAACAGUUGUGUCUGUAGGACCUUUACCCUGGGAAUAGUUCUCUGUUGCAUCUCUGCUCUGGCUUUCAUCCUCUUUGCCAGGUUUGGAACUUUCUCUGUCUUUCUGGUAGGCUUUGUGUUGCUUCUCCAGUCUAUCAUCAAAGAAUGAGUCUUCAUCAUUGCUUGUGUCUAAAUGGCUAUUGGUACUUUCUGUAAUGUGAGAGAUUUUUUGAGGAGGAGCAAAAAUACCAUGCUUUUCUUUGCAAUCGAAAUAUUUAAUACCAUCAUAAGUUCCAUUGUUGUUCCCUUCAGGCUUAUCCAACUCCACACCAGCCCAAAAACCUUUGGCAAAUUUAGUCAGACCUUUGAAUCGCAAUGUUCCAGGUUGGACUUUACUCACAAGUACUCUAUCACCAAUGUUGAAAUCUGGCAAACUAUCUGCUUCUUCCAUGAUCAAAACAGAAGCCCACAGUGGUGAUUCAACAGGGGCCUGUUCUUGCUCCACAUCUCUACGCUCAGUAUUUUUUAUAAGUUCUGUUGGGGACUUCAGUUCUAAUAACCUCUCUGAAUGCACACUGCCAGAGAGAGAGAGAGACCUGUCACUGAGGUAUUCACUGAUUUCACCAUCACUGCCAAGGCUGGUGGAUCUGCUUCUGCUGGUCUGUGUGUGCUGUGACCGCUCUCUCAGUGACUCCCCAUUAGGGGAGAGAAGAGAUGCUUCAAAGUCAUCUUUGUAAUGCUCCCCAGGAAGCAUUUCUUCAACUGAUACUUGUUUUCUGGAGGUGAAUCCUUCAAAGUCUUCAAGGUAUGAUGGCUCUUUUUCACUAAAGAGCUGUUCUGAAAGCAGAUAACCUUUUUCCUCUGCAGAUUUGCUGAGCUUGCAGGAAGACUCUUCUGUAUUUUGGACAGUUACAGCAUGUUUAUUUGUCAGUCUCUGUUCCAAGAUUUUUUCCGUACCGUGAAGACUUUCCACAGCCAAACUAAACAGUUCCUUCUGAGAGUGUUCAUUUUCAGAACAGAGGACUCGCUUUGCAAGGAUGUCCUUUGAGCUCUCCUGUUCAUUACUUAAUGUCAACAAGACAUCAGAACUCUCCAAAGGUUUAACAUGAGAACUUUCAAUCUCAUGUUCCUCUGACUUCAAGUAUUCCAAGUAUUCCUGUAUCUCAGAUUUAUAACUGAAGGCAGACUUAUCACUGGAUGCAUUUACCAUGUUGUUCACUGACCCGUGGGAUAUUCUGCUAACGUCUUUCACAUCUUUGAGAAAAGAUGAUAAAGGUACAUUUUCUAAGGAAUCACCAGAUCCUGUUCUGGAAUGUCCUGGUAACAUUAAAAGUGAGGAAGGUAUUCCAGAAGUUUCUUCUCCAUGAACAUCUGUCACAGCCACCUUCUUGCUGUGUACAGAUACAGAUCUCUCUGUUUUUGAUGACACAGUAUCUUGAAGGAAAAUAAAAAGUGAAUUAUAGUUGCAUUGUUUAAUGGAAAACUGCAACAACAGGAAACAAUAUUAACAACAAGGUUUCUGUUCUAAAGAAGUUACAAACUGGUGCCUUAGAAAUCUCUAUUUCUAGCUGUCCCAUAAACACAAGCAACAUUCUUUUAUUUCCAGGUUUACUAACGCUUUUUCUCUGAUACUGUUCCUGUACCACUAUUUUGCAAUGCCAUACAACACUGAUCGUGAGGUAAGGGCUCAGUUAUUUGUUUGCAAGCUGCAAACACAACCAAUAUUAGAAUGGUAGAUUAUUAUCAGAUAAUGAUCAACAGCAAAACAUUGAAGAAUAUCUGUAAAAACCCAACCCUAUUCCUAAAUUCUUCACUAUUUUUGGUUUCCUUACUUUCUGAAGUGACAAAUAAACAAGAAAUAAAAGAAAGGGAAAAGGUUGUCACUUAAUUAUGGUUUCACAUAAACCUCAGCACAGUAAAACUAAAUGCUAAAUAUACAGAAAACAGCAAAACCAGAAGCCUAAUAAAUAAACAUAUAGCUUGAUCAUUACAGCUUUAUGAAGUCUGCAUUUUCUCUUUAAAAACUCUUCUUGAAUCAACAAGGAAAAGCUUAAAGAAUUUUAAAAGAUAGUCUUCCAAGUUCUUCAUCUGUAGCACAGAUUCUUCCAGUUACAUACCUGCAUGUUCUGAAAUGGAUUCCAAAGAUGCUUUGCAUCGCUCUGAUUCAGCCAGUGAUUUCCAGUUCUUAGCUGUCUCAGGCCUAAAAUAUGAAAAAUAAAAUUGCAUGAAUCAUGGCUA